rnacentral:snoRNA from 1 species
UCACAAUGAUGAAUGGUCCAAAACAUUCACGGUUUCCACCAGAAGAGAAGGCAGUUACAAAGACUACAAGGUUAGGAGCCACAAGCUGCCCUUGGGGGCAGCCCCACAGGGCUGAGUGU